UACGGGGGGGGCAAGCGUUGUUCGGAAUUACUGGGCGUAAAGGGCUCGUAGGUGGCCAACUAAGUCGGACGUGAAAUCCCUCGGCUUAACCGGGGAACUGCAUCCGAUACUGGAUGGCUUGAGUUCGGGAGAGGGAUGCGGAAUUCCAGGUGUAGCGGUGAAAUGCGUAGAUAUCUGGAGGAACGCCGGAGGCGAAAGCGGCGCACUGGAUCUCUACUGACGCUGAGGCGCGAAAGCCAGGGGAGCAAACGGG
rnacentral:rRNA from 1 species